CCUACGGGUGGCAGCAGUGAGGAAUAUUGGUCAAUGGGCGGGAGCCUGAACCAGCCAAGUCGCGUGAGGGAAGACGGUCCUAUGGAUUGUAAACCCCUUUAGGCGGGGAGCAAUGCCGGGCACGCGUGCCCGGAGGGAGAGUACCCGCAGACUAAGCAUCGGCUAACUCCGUGCCAGCAGCCGCGGUAAUACGGAGGAUGCGUGCGUUAUCCGGAUUUAUGGGGUUUAAAGGGUGCGUAGGCGGAUUUUUAAGUACGCGGUAAAAUGUCCGGGCUCAACCCGGGCCUGCCGUUGAAACUGGGGAUCUUGAGUGGGCGAGAGGUAUGCGGAAUGCGUGGUGUAGCGGUGAAAUGCAUAGAUAUCACGCAGAACUCCGAUUGCGAAGGCAGCAUACCGGCGCCCGACUGACGCUGAGGCACGAAAGCGUGGGGAUCGAACAGGAUUAGAUACCCCUGUAGUC
rnacentral:rRNA from 1 species